rnacentral:lncRNA from 1 species
CCGGGAGAAGGUGUUAGGCAUUUCCGAAUUACUGGUUCUAGCACGGUCGUUCAACUGUUAUAUUUGGCCUAUUUACUUGAUUUUAAUACAUUUUUAGCUUAUGGUUCAAUUUUAACUUUAUAACCGCUUUGUUUAAUCAUUUUAAGGAAGAUUUCAAUGUCAUUUAAAAUACAUCUUGAACCACGUCACAUAAAUGCACCCGCGGUCCUCGACAUAUUUUAUCUAACAUUGUUAAGAUUUGGAUUUGGGUCACAUAAAUACGCACCCAAGUUUAGGAAGGUAAUUUUAAGUAUUGCACCUAAAGAAACUACGCACUUUCAAGUUUGCGAGGGCCAUGGAAAAUUCACUAAUGGAACACCUCGAUUUCUAAGGGUUCAAGCAUUAAUUAAGCGAGGGACAUGCAUUUUUGAUGUUUUAUUUGGUACGGCGCACCUCAAUACAAUUUAAAGGAAAUUUGAAACUAAACUUUGAGGGCCAUAAAUUGUACAUUUGGCUUAAUACGGCACACCCCAAAUUAUUAAAAUAAGGGAAUUAUAUACAACUAAAGCGAAUUACGGGGUUCAUGCUUAAUCUAAAUCAAAAUUCGGCCUCGAGUCCAUCAAUUCUUGAUUUUAACAUCACUACUCCGACCUGAAGCAGCAAAAUUGGAUGUUCAUGGGAUUAAAAUAUCCUAAAAAUAAGUAAACAUAAGCAAAUUCCAAAACUGGAUACUAGUCUUCAAAAUCUCUAUUGCUGCAAUAAUUGCUUAAGCCAACCUGACAGUAACUAACUUAAAUUUUGUAACCCCUGCUCUUUCUUCUUUAUUUGUUAAUCCACUCUAUUAGUCUAACUAAUCACUUCACAAUACAAAAAAUAACACAUUAAAUUAUUUAGUAAACUAAUUACAAUUAAACCAAAUAAACCAAAAUAUCUAAGGCAUUUAUGGGAGAUUGGGCAGAGAAGCAGAUUAAGACUCUUAAGUAGAAGAAAACAAUUAAAGUAAAAACAAAUGAAGAAUAACAAAAGUAUCAAACAGACUCACCAAAACUUGAGCGAACGCCAUAUAAACUGGAAUGAAAUGGGAAGAUUGACAUUUAUAUUAACAAAUUUGGCUUGAAUAUUACAGUUGCACUCCCAAGGUGAACGAAGCGUAGGAGUCUGACCAAUGACCGGAGCUCGGAAUCUCGUCGACGAUCUCAAACUCGACUGAAGUUUUGGUUCUGUUUCACGGUGGAAUUAGCAACAAUCUGAGCUACUGUUUUGGGGUUAAAGAGUGAUGACAACUAUGAUUUUAGUAAUUGAUUUUGCGGGUUUAAAAAGAGCUGUUUCUCGGCUGAUUUUGCCGGGUUUGAGGGGUUAUUUCACGGUCAAUUUUCAGCUUAUUCCAGGCAAUUUUUGGGGUUGUUCUGUGCUGUUUUUCGCUGGAAGCUUCGUGAAGAAGAUGAAGUUUUGGAGGGGUCAGGGGGUUGUGUUCUUCUCAGCGGCGAAUUUCAAUGUAUUUUUUAGGUGUAUUUUUUUAGGUGUCCUUUAUUUUAGGUGUUAGAUACUAUAUAUAAGGGGUAGGGAUUAGGUUAGGGGUAUGGGCCUAGGAAUUAUGGACUUGGGAAUUAUGGGCUAGGUCCAAAAUUAGACCUAAAAAUGGGUUGCUCGAGCCCUAUUUUUAUACUUUCUCCUCGAACGAGACCAAAAUACGAGCUUAUUUAUUAAUUAG